UACGUAGGUGGCAAGCGUUGUCCGGAUUUACUGGGCGUAAAGAGCUCGUAGGCGGCUUGUCACGUCGGUUGUGAAAGCCCGGGGCUUAACCCCGGGUCUGCAGUCGAUACGGGCAGGCUAGAGUUCGGUAGGGGAGAUCGGAAUUCCUGGUGUAGCGGUGAAAUGCGCAGAUAUCAGGAGGAACACCGGUGGCGAAGGCGGAUCUCUGGGCUCUACCUGACGCUGAGACGCGAAAGCGUGGGGAGCGAACCGG
rnacentral:rRNA from 1 species